rnacentral:rRNA from 1 species
CGUCAAAUCAUCAUGCCCCUUAUGUCCUGGGCUACACACGUACUACAAUGGCCGUCAACAACGGGCAGCGAAGGAGCGAUCCGGAGCAAAUCCCCAAAAGCGGCCUCAGUUCAGAUUGUAGGCUGAAACCCGCCUGCAUGAAGUCGGAAUUGCUAGUAAUCGCGAAUCAGCAUGUCGCGGUGAAUACGUUCCCGGGUCUU